AAAGAAGGAUGGAAGUCUGCGACCUUGCGGUGACUACAGGGCGCUGAACGCCCGUACUGUUCCCGACAGGUACUCUCCACCGCACAUACAAGACUUCGCGCAGCAUCUACACGGCAUCCUUCAACACGACGCACAUGUGACAAUGUGCGAAUCCACAGAACGACUGUAUGGUGCCUCGUGUCGGUCAACCGCUAUUAUUUAGAAUUGCUGACAGCACUGCUCGUUGAUUGGCUACAAUUCAGCAGUCCAACAUGGUACCUGCGCAUAUCCUUGCGCGAAUAUGUAAGAAUAGAAACGUGUAAUAUUUAUUCUUUAAGAUUGAUUAAAUAGAUAUAUAAGUACAAUUUUAACAAGCCGUCUUAACAAGAUCUUUAUGCACACAUCAUGCGUUAAACAU
rnacentral:misc_RNA from 1 species